rnacentral:rRNA from 1 species
CAGCAGCCGCGGGAAUACGUAGGGCGCAAGCGUUGUCCGGAAUUAUUGGGCGUAAAGAGCUCGUAGGCGGUCUGUCGCGUCUGGUGUGAAAUCCCGAGGCUCAACCUCGGGCUUGCAUCGGGUACGGGCAGACUAGAGUGCGGUAGGGGAGACUGGAAUUGCUGGUGUAGCGGUGGAAUGCGCAGAUAUCAGGAGGAACACCGAUGGCGAAGGCAGGUCUCUGGGCCGCAACUGACGCUGAGGAGCGAAAGCAUGGGGAGCGAACAGGAUUAGAUACCCGCGUAGUCCCUGUCUCUUAUAC